ACGUACCACCGACUCCAGAAAAAAAAUGGUUCUCUGCAAGAAGUGGACGUUGGCGAAGCCAUUCAUCGGAAAAGUCACCCCUGAUAACUUCAAGCUUGUUAAGGAAGAUAUUCCAGAAAAAUUGAAUGAUGGAGAGUUGUUGUGUGAAGCAGUUUAUUUGACUGUUGAUCCAUACAUGAGAGUUGGAGCUGAGACCGGGAAUGCAGUAGGCAAUACACUUUUCGGAGAGCAAAUCGCAAAGUAGGGUAAUUGUCAGCAAGAACGCCAAAUACCCCGUGGGUUCGAUCGUACGCAUGCGUGCAGGAUGGCGCACGCACACCUUGGUAAAAGACGCCGAGAAAGAGAUUUCCCGCUCAGCAGAAAUGGGUGACCUCCCUUUGUCUCUCAUGCUGGGAGCCAUGGGUAUGCCUGGCAUGACGGCUUAUUUUGGCUUUUUGGAACUCUGCCAACCGAAAGCAGGGAUGCAAAGUGAUUGGAUUCGCCGGAACUGAGGAGAAGUGUAAGUGGAUCAAGGAAGAACUGGGCUUUGACUUUGCCUACAACUACAAGAAAACAGAUGUCGACACGGCUCUGAAGGAAGCUGCUCCUGACAACAGCGUGGACUGCUACUUUGAUAAUGUAUGAUUUAAGGGACUGUUCGGGUCCUCAUUGUCUUUAUAUGUUAUUGUGUAUCUUUUCAAUUCAAUAAAUUCAAAACGCGUUAAGUUUGCAGCCGAAAAACUGGGUUUUUUUAAAUUCAAAACAUUUUAUCAAAUUACUCAACGAUAAAUGCAUUUCCGUGUUUACUUGAAAGAAAAGUUAGUUCUUAAUGUUACUUAGUAUAAAAACUUAUUUACUUGAUAAGUAUUUUUAUAGUUGCUCUUACAGGUCUAUUCGAUAAAUCAGUUUUAUUUCCAUAUCAAACUUUUGUUUGGUUUCCCUCAUUAUUUUCAAAAUUAAGUCCAUUAUACGAAUUUUUAUUACCGUGUUUUCAGGAUAGAUGUCAAAAAUACAUACCCUCUAUCUGAUCCUCGUAUAGCGACAAUACAAAAAAAGGAGGGGAUCGAAGAUUGAAUAUUAAUCAGAUUGUACAUAAACCUCAAUAUAUUUAAUGUCAGAAUCCUAAACUUGGAUUUUCCUAUAAAUUAAUCCUUGAUUACAAUUUUAAUUGAAUUAAUAUUUUUAAAAUAAGAAUGUUUUAUUUAUCUUUUUUUCAGGUUGGUGGUAUGUUUACUGUUAAGGUCCUGACCCAUAUGAAGACAUUUGGUAGAGUUUCAAUUUGUGGCUCCAUUUCCAAUUAUAACGACACCAGUGUACCAACAGGUUAGACCACUGCCUUUCUUUAGCAUACUGAAGUCCCAGCUAAGAGUAGAGGGGUUCAUUGUUUUAAGGUGGUAUUCAAGGUGGGAAGAAGGGGAAACUGCAAUGCGCCAAUGGAUUAAAGAGGGCAAAAUUAAAUACAAAGAACAUGUGACGGAAGGAUUUGAAAAGAUGCCUGAUGCUUUUAUGGGUUUAUUUGAAGGACGCAACACCGGAAAGGCUAUUAUAAAAAUGUGAUGAGACAUUUUUUUUAAAUAAUAUUGUACAGGUACAAUAGUUUGUUUGUUAUUUUAAUUAUGCACUGUAAAUGACGUAAUAAAUAUUCAAUGUCCAGUAGUUC
rnacentral:misc_RNA from 1 species